GUCACUAUAGCCAUACGGAUCCAGUCCAUAUCCAUUCCAGAUGGUGGAUCAGCACCUAGAGACGACCUCUACAGCUCUGAAUGUCAGCGGUGACCCAGAGAUAGAUCCCCUAUGAAGACCUCAUCACCUCGACGACCAUCAACACAAGGCCACAGGAACCAGAUAAGUCCCCUGCACAAUCUGACCUGUGUUGCAGCCUGGAAUUAAACCAUGCUAUGCUGGUUUCGUCUGGCCAGAGGAGAAAUGGCCCCCCAACUGAGUCUGGUUCUCCCACAUUUUUUUUUUCUCCAUUUCUGUCACUGAUGGAGUUUUGGUUCCUUGCGGCUGUCACCUUUGGCUUGCUUAGCUGGGGACGCUUGACUGAUUGAACAGACACUAUUGGAAGAGAACUGAACUGGAUGAUGACAUCACUGAAUCAUCAAUAAACUGACUUUAGCUGGAAAACUGACUCUUUGUUAAACAAUUUUCCUAUUUGACACUGUAAAACUGCUUUAACACAAUCAUAUUGUAUAAAGUACUAUACAAAUAAAGGUGACUUGACUUGACUUGACUUGACAUGAGUUCAUGUGUAGGUCUAGUGAGGAAUGAUUUGGCCAAAAAAACAUUUCAUUCUUAAAAAAAAAAAAAAGGUUUCUCACUUGAUAAUCAACAUAUCUUUUUCUUCUAAAGAACCCAUGUUGUAAUCGGUAAAUGUAAUAGAAUGCUGACAGAAGGAUUAAAAAGAGGAAGAUUCACUUCCACUAGGUGCCAAAAGUAUGCUCGGGUGUGAUGAAAUAAACCUCUUAACCCACCUGAUAUUUCAUGUAUUUCGUCGUAAAAGUAAAACCACAAGUUGGUGUCUGCAGUCACAGAGUAUAAUGGAAACAGGGGUAAAGAUCUUGUCACUCCUCCCCUACAUACCUACAACUCACCUCCCAUUUGCUAACUUCAGAACAGAAAAGACCGAACCAGAGAACAGUAAUACAUACAUUGCUGCAGAGCCCAAGGCAGAAAGAAAAUUACCAUCAAAAUCCAAUAAUCAGACAAAUGGAUCCCAGCCAGUCUUUCAGUCACACCCGGCCAUAUCCAGGACAGUCCGUCAUCGGUGUGCAGCCUGCAGUUUUUGUGACCCCCAAUCCACCGGCCAGUCUAGUGCCAGAUCACUUGGCCUACUCUAUCUUUACCAUGCUGUGCUGCUGUUUACCUCUGGGCAUUGCUGCACUGGUUUUCUCCUGCUCUACUCGAGAUGCCAUCUACUCAGGACAGCAAGAAUUAGCAAAGAAGAACUCCAGAACAGCGCUCAUGCUGAAUCACAUCGGCCUUGGGAUUGGCAUGGUUAUUAUUGUAUUGGUUAUUAUCAUCCAUAUGGCGAAAUAAAGAUAAAAGCUGUUAGAGCUGACUAGGCUGGAUGCAGAUUACAAACAGAUUUGUUUGUCUUUAUUUUAAAUGUUACUUGCUCAAUUUAUCAUUAUUCUCAUGCUUUAAGGCUGAUUAUUCUGUUUAAACCAAUGAAAGCUACCCAGCAAUUUUUUUUUGUUCUCUUUACUUCUAAAAUGUUUUGUUUAGACUUUUUGCUUAUGUUAAAUAUCUUGUGUGCAGCUCUGCUUGUUUUUUCGUGAUCAACCAACUUAAACAGAAAUUAAAGUGUUAGUCAAAUACUCAAAUCAGAAAGCACAUACACAUUUUUUUUUUUCUAAAUCAAUUAUAAAGGUGUUUCUCAAUUAAUUAAAAGUACUUUUAUUUAAAGCACAUGUAAAGUUGUGAGUAUACACUGAAAAAAAUAACUUUUAAUUAGCAUGUUUUACUCAUCUAAGCAAAUAUAACAAUAAAUAUCAUAUAAACACCACAUUUAUAGAAUUAUUAAUGUGACACUCAUCCAAAAAGACUGCAGUACUUAGUAAACAACACACAAUGUUGGUAACAAUCUGUGGUUCAUUUUUUGAGAAUGUGUCAUUUUGAGUUCAACAUGAACUCUGCAAGUUACUAAACCUAACAAAAAAGCAAUGACAAAACAGUGUAAAUCAGCAGAAAACAGCAAAAAUAAAUAAAUAAAAAAAAAUCAACUUUAUUAAUUAUUCAUGCCCCAGUGCAUUAUGGGAACAACAGUAUUAGAAAAGUUGAGUAGGUUUUACUUAAAAAAAGAAUUUUUAUUGACUGUUCUAACCCCCCAAAAGACACACUUCAUGAAAUCAUCCCCAUCUGUGUCCUGAUAUUUCAUCAUGUUACAUGUUGGUUCCACCAGGUGGCGCCUAUUAGUCACCUUAAUUGUAAGGUGAUGCAAAUACAACAGAUUAAUCUUCACCUGAGUACACACCAGAGAUAGACACUGUUCAGUGGUGCAAGAAAACCACAUUGUGACCAAGAGAAACGUGGAUUCCAAAAAGUUCAGCAACAGGGCAGCCUUUGCUUCCACUGCAGCAGAACCCCCCUGAGUACUCCAAUGUUGGAUUCCCCUCCCUCUCACAGCUAUUCCAGCACUUCCCAG
ensembl:lncRNA